rnacentral:rRNA from 1 species
ACGGGAGGCAGCAGUGAGGAAUAUUGGUCAAUGGGCGGAAGCCUGAACCAGCCAAGUCGCGUGAAGGAUGAAGGUAUUAUGUAUUGUAAACUUCUUUAGCUGUGGAGCAAUAAUCUCCAUGUAUGGAGAGCUGAGAGUACACAGAGAAUAAGGAUCGGCUAACUCCGUGCCAGCAGCCGCGGUAAUACGGAGGAUCCGAGCGUUAUCCGGAUUUAUUGGGUUUAAAGGGUGCGCAGGCGGCUUUCUAAGUCAGUGGUCAAAUCGUGGUGCUCAACGCCAUCCCGCCAUUGAUACUGGAGAGCUUGAUUGCGGUCGAGGUUUGCGGAAUUCGUCGUGUAGCGGUGAAAUGCAUAGAUAUGACGAAGAACACCGAUUGCGUAGGCAGCAGACCAGGCCGUAAAUGACGCUCAUGCACGAAAGUGCGGGGAUCGAACAGGAUUAGAUACCCUGGUA